rnacentral:siRNA from 1 species
UCGCGUGGUGUCCGGUGCGCCCCC